AGGACGAACGCUGGCGGCGUGCUUAACACAUGCAAGUCGAGCGGAAAGGCCCUUCGGGGUACUCGAGCGGCGAACGGGUGAGUAACACGUGAGCAACCUGCCCUUAGCUUCGGGAUAGCUCCGGGAAACCGGAAUUAAAUACCGAAUAUGAUUUUUGCUGACAUCAGCAGAAGUGGAAAGUUUUUCGGCUAGGGAUGGACUCGCGGCCUAUCAGCUAGUUGGUGAGGUAACGGCCCACCAAGGCGACGACGGGGUA
rnacentral:rRNA from 1 species